UCGUCUGUUCUUUGGGCAUCACUCUAUCAUCUUGAAGAACAAACAAUGAAAUUAUGGAUGAUGAAGACAUUAAUAAUACUUCUAUCAGUUAUACCAGGAUGUCAAUCAGAAGACUCAGUUGAUCAGCCACUUAAACAUGUUACUGAAUUUGUGGGAGAAUUGAUCACAUUGGACUGCAAAUAUACUACAAGCUCACCAUCACAAGAGCUCUUCUGGUACAUACAGAGAACAAAUGAAUCUCCUAAACUUGCGUUACAAAGGAAUCCAUAUGGAGGAGGAGUGAAUGGAACGGAGUAUCAGGAGAGAUUUCACUCUGAAGUGAAACCAUCAAAAUCCGUCCCCUUGAUAAUCCAGAGACUGCGUGUGUCUGACUCUGCUGUGUACUACUGCGCUCUGAGGCCCACAGUGUCACAGGACGUCUCUCUCUCACUCAAAAACAAAAGAAACAAACCUACAGCAUACAGGGGAAACAGGUGACUGAA